GACAGAGGAUGCAAGCGUUAUCCGGAAUGAUUGGGCGUAAGCGUCUGUAGGUGGCUUUUAAGUCCGCCGUCAAUCCCAGGCUCAACCCUGGACAGGCGGUGGAAACUACCAAGCUGGAGUACGGUAGGGGCAGAGGGAAUUUCCGGUGGAGCGGUGAAAUGCGUAGAGAUCGGAAAGAACACCAACGGCGAAAGCACUUUGCUGGGCCGAAACUGACACUGAUAGACGAAAGCUAGGGGAGCAAAUGGG
rnacentral:rRNA from 1 species